UCCGUGCCAGCAGCCGCGGUAAUACGGAGGGUGCGAGCGUUAAUCGGAAUUACUGGGCGUAAAGGGUGCGUAGGUGGUUGAUUAAGUUAUCUGUGAAAUCCCUGGGCUCAACCUGGGAGGGUCAGAUAAGACUGGUUGACUGGAGUAUAGGAGAGGGUAGUGGAAUUUCCGGUGUAGCGGUGAAAUGCGUAGAGAUCGGAAGGAACACCAGUGGCGAAGGCGGCUACCUGGCCUAAUACUGACACUGAGGCACGAAAGCGUGGGGAGCAAACAGGAUUAGAUACCCUGGUAGUCCACGCUGUAAACGAUGUCAACU
rnacentral:rRNA from 1 species